GGAAAAAGAAAGUGUUUAGUUAAAAAAGAGAGAGGAAAAAAAAGAAAUAUGUGAGGGAGCAAGUGACGAAGAUGAAGAGAAGAGGAGAGUGAAAAAAAUUAAAAAAGAAGAAAAAGAUGAGAUUGAUCUUCCUUACCUUAGAGGAGAAGAGAGAAAAGAGAGUAAGUGUGAGCACUUUAGAGAAAUAUUCAAUCAAAUGGAGAUUACAAGGUGUUCACUCACUGGCAAGUGUACCAGAUCGAGCAAGUAAUAUAAUC
rnacentral:lncRNA from 1 species